GACGAACGCUGGCGGCGUGCUUAACACAUGCAAGUCGAACGGAAAGGCCCUGCUUUUGUGGGGUGCUCGAGUGGCGAACGGGUGAGUAACACGUGAGUAACCUGCCCUUGACUUUGGGAUAACUUCAGGAAACUGGGGCUAAUACCGGAUAGGAGCUCCUGCUGCAUGGUGGGGGUUGGAAAGUUUCGGCGGUUGGGGAUGGACUCGCGGCUUAUCAGCUUGUUGGUGGGGUAGUGGCUUACCAAGGCUUUGACGGGUAGCCGGCCUGAGAGGGUGACCGGCCACAUUGGGACUGAGAGACGGCCCAGACUCCUACGGGAGGCAGCAGUGGGGAAUAUUGCACAAUGGGCGGAAGCCUGAUGCAGCAACGCCGCGUGCGGGAUGACGGCCUUCGGGGUGUAAACCGCUUUCGCCGGUGACGAAGCGUGAGUGACGGUAAUGGGUAAAGAAGCACCGGCUAACUACGUG
rnacentral:rRNA from 1 species